AUUGAACGCUGGCGGCAGGCCUAACACAUGCAAGUCGAACGAGUGGCGGACGGGUGAGUAAUGUCUGGGAAACUGCCCGAUGGAGGGGGAUAACUACUAGAAACGGUAGCUAAUACCGUAUACAAUGGGAUACGCCCAGGUGGGAUUAGCUAGUAGGUGGGGUAACGGCUCACCUAGGCGACGAUCCCUCGCUGGUCUGAGAGGAUGACCAGCAACACUGGAAUUGGGACACGGUCCAGAAUCCUACGGGAGGCAGCAGUGGGGAAUAUUGCACAAGGGGCGCAAGCCUGAUGCAGCCAUGCCGCGUGUAUGAAGAAGGCCUUCGGGUUGUAAAGUACUUUCAGUGGGGAGGCGUUACCCGCAGAAGAAGCACCGGCUAACUCCGUGCCAGCAGCCGCGGUAAUAC
rnacentral:rRNA from 1 species